UACGUAGGGUGCAAGCGUUUGUCCGGAAUUAUUGGGCGUAAAGAGCUCGUAGGCGGUUUGUCGCGUCUGCUGUGAAAACUCAGGGCUUAACCCUGAGCCUGCAGUGGGUACGGGCAGACUAGAGUGUGGUAGGGGAGAUCGGAAUUCCUGGUGUAGCGGUGGAAUGCGCAGAUAUCAGGAGGAACACCGGUGGCGAAGGCGGAUCUCUGGGCCUUACCUGACGCUGAGGAGCGAAAGCGUGGGGAGCGAACAGGA
rnacentral:rRNA from 1 species